rnacentral:rRNA from 1 species
CCUACGGGAGGCAGCAGUGAGGAAUAUUGGUCAAUGGACGCAAGUCUGAACCAGCCAAGUAGCGUGCAGGAUGACGGCCCUCCGGGUUGUAAACUGCUUUUAGUUGGGAAUAAAAGGGGGCUCGUGAGCCCCGUAUUGUAUGUACCAUCAGAAAAAGCAUCGGCUAACUCCGGGCCAGCAGCCGCGGUAAUACGGAGGAUGCGAGCGUUAUCCGGAUUUAUUGGGUUUAAAGGGAGCGUAGAUGGGUUGUUAAGUCAGUUGUGAAAGUUUGCGGCUCAACCGUAAAAUUGCAAUUGAUACUGGCAGUCUUGAGUACAGUUGAGGUAGGCGGAAUUCGUGGUGUAGCGGUGAAAUGCUUAGAUAUCACGAAGAACUCCGAUUGCGAAGGCAAGUGUCCGGGGUGCAACUGACGCUGAGGCUCGAAAGUGCGGGUAUCAAACAGGAUUAGAUACCCGAGUAGUC